rnacentral:rRNA from 1 species
UAGGGAAUCUUCCGCAAUGGACGCAAGUCUGACGGAGCAACGCCGCGUGAGCGAAGAAGGAUUUCGGUUCGUAAAACUCUGUUGUUAGAGAAGAACAGCGCAUAGAGUAACUGUUAUGCGUGUGACGGUAUCUAACCAGAAAGGGACGGCUAACUACGUGCCAGCAGCCGCGGUAAUACGUAGGUCCCGAGCGUUGUCCGGAUUUAUUGGGCGUAAAGCGAGCGCAGGCGGUUAGAUAAGUCUGAAGUUAAAGGCAGUGGCUCAACCAUUGUAGGCUUUGGAAACUGUUUAACUUGAGUGCAGAAGGGGAGAGUGGAAUUCCAUGUGUAGCCGUGAAAUGCGUAGAUAUAUGGAGGAACACCGGUGGCGAAAGCGGCUCUCUGGUCUGUAACUGACGCUGAGGCUCGAAAGCGUGGGGAGCGAACAGG